AUUUUACAUAUUAACCGCUAAUCUAAACAGCUAAUUUUACCAAACACUUUUUUAUAAACCGCUAAUACAAUCUGCUUGUCAAACACGCUAAUACAAUCCGCUAUCUGAUAACCGCUAACACAACCCGCUACCGCUAACCACUAACCGCUGAUAACCAAACAAGCCCUAAUUGAAAGGG